rnacentral:rRNA from 1 species
GACGAACGCUGGCGGCGUGCCUAAUACAUGCAAGUCGAGCGGACUUAAAAAGCUUGCUUUUUAUGUUAGCGGCGGACGGGUGAGUAACACGUGGGCAACCUGCCUGUAAGACUGGGAUAACUUCGGGAAACCGGAGCUAAUACCGGAUAAUCCUUUUCUACUCAUGUAGAAAAGCUGAAAGACGGUUUACGCUGUCACUUACAGAUGGGCCCGCGGCGCAUUAGCUAGUUGGUGAGGUACGGCUCACCAAGGCGACGAUGCGUAGCCGACCUGAGAGGGUGAUCGGCCACACUGGGACUGAGACACGGCCCAGACUCCUACGGGAGGCAGCAGUAGGGAAUCUUCCGCAAUGGACGAAAGUCUGACGGAGCAACGCCGCGUGAGUGAUGAAGGUUUUCGGAUCGUAAAACUCUGUUGUUAGGGAAGAACAAGUACGAGAGUAACUGCUCGUACCUUGACGGUACCUAACCAGAAAGCCACGGCUAACUACGUG